CAGCAGCCGCGGGAAUACGUAGGUGGCAAGCGUUGUCCGGAAUUACUGGGCGUAAAGGGCUCGCAGGCGGUUUCUUAAGUCUGAUGUGAAAGCCCCCGGCUCAACCGGGGAGGGUCAUUGGAAACUGGGAAACUUGAGUGCAGAAGAGGAGAGUGGAAUUCCACGUGUAGCGGUGAAAUGCGUAGAGAUGUGGAGGAACACCAGUGGCGAAGGCGACUCUCUGGUCUGUAACUGACGCUGAGGAGCGAAAGCGUGGGGAGCGAACAGGAUUAGAUACCCCCGUAGUCCCUGUCUCUUAUAC
rnacentral:rRNA from 1 species